AAUCAACGCUGGCGGCGCGCUUAACACAUGCAAGUCGAACGAGAAAGCCGGGGCAACCUGGUGAGUACAGUGGCGUACGGGUGAGUAACACGUGGAUCAUCUACCCUGGAGUGGGGAAUAACGCUGGGAAACCGGCGCUAAUACCGCAUAAUCCCGAGAGGGCAAAGGAAGCAAUUUCGCUUCAGGAGGAGUCCGCGGCCGAUUAGCUUGUUGGCAGGGUAAAAGCCUACCAAGGCAUCGAUCGGUAGCCGGCCUGAGAGGGCGA
rnacentral:rRNA from 1 species